rnacentral:rRNA from 1 species
CCUACGGGGUGCAGCAGUCGAGAAUCAUUCACAAUGGGGGAAACCCUGAUGGUGCGACGCCGCGUGGGGGAAUGAAGGUCUUCGGAUUGUAAACCCCUGUCAUGUGGGAGCAAAUUAAAAAGAUAGUACCACAAGGGGAAGAGACGGCUAACUCUGUGCCAGCAGCCGCGGUAAUACAGAGGUCUCAAGCGUUGUUCGGAAUCACUGGGCGUAAAGCGUGCGUAGGCGGGAUGCCAAGUCAGCGGUAAACAUGCGGUGCUCAACGCCGUCGAGCCGUUGAAACUGGCGUUCUUGAGUGGGCGAGAAGUAUGCGGAAUGCGUGGGGUAGCGGUGAAAUGCAUAGAUAUCACGCAGAACUCCGAUUGCGAAGGCAGCAUACCGGCGCCCUACUGACGCUGAGGCACGAAAGCGUGGGUAUCGAACAGGAUUAGAUACCCCAGUAGUC